UACGAAGGGGGCUAGCGUUGCUCGGAAUCACUGGGCGUAAAGGGUGCGUAGGCGGGUCUUUAAGUCAGGGGGGAAAUCCUGGAGCUCAACUCCAGAACUGCCUUUGAUACUGAAGAUCUUGAGUUCGGGAGAGGUGAGUGGAACUGCGAGUGUAGAGGUGAAAUUCGUAGAUAUUCGCAAGAACACCAGUGGCGAAGGCGGCUCACUGGCCCGAUACUGACGCUGAGGCACGAAGGUCAGGGGAGCAAACGGG
rnacentral:rRNA from 1 species